UACGUAGGGGGCGAGCGUUGUUCGGAAUUACUGGGCGUAAAGGGCGUGUAGGCGGUGCGGUAAGUCGGGCGUGAAAUCCCCGGGCCUAACCCGGGGCGGUCGUUCGAAACUGGCGUGCUAGAGUGCAGGAGAGGGAAGUGGAAUUCCCGGUGUAGCGGUGAAAUGCGUAGAGAUGUGGAGGAACACCGAUGGCGAAGGCAGCCCCCUGGGCUAACACUGACGCUCAGGCACGAAAGCGUGGGGAGCAAACAGG
rnacentral:rRNA from 1 species